rnacentral:rRNA from 1 species
UACGUAGGGGGCAAGCGUUGUCCGGAUUUAUUGGGCGUAAAGAGCGUGUAGGCGGCCAUACAGGUCCGUUGUGAAAACUGGAGGCUUAACCUCCAGACGUCGAUGGAAACCGUAUGGCUAGAGUCCGGAAGAGGAGAGUGGAAUUCCUGGUGUAGCGGUGAAAUGCGCAGAUAUCAGGAAGAACACCCAGUGGCGAAGGCGCUCGCUGGGACGGUACUGACGCUAAGGCGCGAAAGCGUGGGGAGCAAACAGG